GAUGAACGCUAGCGGCAGGCUUAAUACAUGCAAGUCGUGGGGCAGCAGGGGUGUAGCAAUACAUCUGCUGGCGACCGGCAAACGGGUGCGUAACACGUACGCAACCUUCCCGUUACUGUGGCAUAGCCCAGGGAAACUUGGAUUAAUACCACAUAUUAUAUAGAGAGGGCAUCCUUUUUAUAUCAAAGCUUCGGCGGUAACGGAUGGGCGUGCGGUUGAUUAGGUAGUUGGCGGGGUAACGGCCCACCAAGCCUACGAUCAAUAGCUGAUGUGAGAGCAUGAUCAGCCACACGGGCACUGAGACACGGGCCCGACUCCUACGGGAGGCAGCAGUAAGGAAUAUUGGGCAAUGGACGAAAGUCUGACCCAGCCAUGCCGCGUGAAGGAUUAAGGUCCUCUGGAUUGUAAACUUCUUUUCUCUGGGGCGAAAACCAGCUAUUCUUAGCUAUUUGACAGUACCAGAGGAAUAAGCACCGGCUAACUCCGUGCCAGCCGCCGCCGUAACAC
rnacentral:rRNA from 1 species